rnacentral:rRNA from 1 species
CCUACGGGAGGCAGCAGUGGGGAAUUUUGGACAAUGGGCGCAAGCCUGAUCCAGCAAUGCCGCGUGAGUGAAGAAGGCCUUCGGGUUGUAAAGCUCUUUUGUCAGGGAAGAAACGGUCUACUCUAAUACAGUGGGCUAAUGACGGUACCUGAAGAAUAAGCACCGGCUAACUACGUGCCAGCAGCCGCGGUAAUACGUAGGGUGCAAGCGUUAAUCGGAAUUACUGGGCGUAAAGCGUGCGCAGGCGGUUAUAUAAGUCAGAUGUGAAAUCCCCGGGCUCAACCUGGGAACUGCAUUUGAGACUGUAUGGCUAGAGUGUGUCAGAGGGGGGUAGAAUUCCACGUGUAGCAGUGAAAUGCGUAGAUAUGUGGAGGAAUACCGAUGGCGAAGGCAGCCCCCUGGGAUAACACUGACGCUCAUGCACGAAAGCGUGGGGAGCAAACAGGAUUAGAUACCCUGGUAGUCCACGCCCUAAACGAUGUCUACUAGUUGUCGGGACUUAAUUGUCUUGGUAACGCAGCUAACGCGUGAAGUAGACCGCCUGGGGAGUCGGUCGCAAGAUUAAAACNCAAAUGAAAUUGACGG